rnacentral:rRNA from 1 species
AGCUUGCUCUUCUUGGAUGAGUUGCGAACGGGUGAGUAACGCGUAGGUAACCUGCCUUGUAGCGGGGGAUAACUAUUGGAAACGAUAGCUAAUACCGCAUAACAAUGGAUGACACAUGUCAUUUAUUUGAAAGGGGCAAUUGCUCCACUACAAGAUGGACCUGCGUUGUAUUAGCUAGUAGGUGAGGUAAUGGCUCACCUAGGCGACGAUACAUAGCCGACCUGAGAGGGUGAUCGGCCACACUGGGACUGAGACACGGCCCAGACUCCUACGGGAGGCAGCAGUAGGGAAUCUUCGGCAAUGGGGGCAACCCUGACCGAGCAACGCCGCGUGAGUGAAGAAGGUUUUCGGAUCGUAAAGCUCUGUUGUAAGUCAAGAACGGGUGUGAGAGUGGAAAGUUCACACUGUGACGGUAGCUUACCAGAAAGGGACGGCUAACUACGUGCCAGCAGCCGCGGUAAUACGUAGGUCCCGAGCGUUGUCCGGAUUUAUUGGGCGUAAAGCGAGCGCAGGCGGUUUGAUAAGUCUGAAGUUAAAGGCUGUGGCUCAACCAUAGUUCGCUUUGGAAACUGUCAAACUUGAGUGCAGAAGGGGAGAGUGGAAUUCCAUGUGUAGCGGUGAAAUGCGUAGAUAUAUGGAGGAACACCGGUGGCGAAAGCGGCUCUCUGGUCUGUAACUGACGCUGAGGCUCGAAAGCGUGGGGAGCGAACAGGAUUAGAUACCCUGGUAGUCCACGCCGUAAACGAUGAGUGCUAGGUGUUGGAUCCUUUCCGGGAUUCAGUGCCGCAGCUAACGCAUUAAGCACUCCGCCUGGGGAGUACGACCGCAAGGUUGAAACUCAAAGGAAUUGACGGGGGCCCGCACAAGCGGUGGAGCAUGUGGUUUAAUUCGAAGCAACGCGAAGAACCUUACCAGGUCUUGACAUCCCGAUGCUAUUUCUAGAGAUAGAAAGUUACUUCGGUACAUCGGUGACAGGUGGUGCAUGGUUGUCGUCAGCUCGUGUCGUGAGAUGUUGGGUUAAGUCCCGCAACGAGCGCAACCCCUAUUGUUAGUUGCCAUCAUUCAGUUGGGCACUCUAGCGAGACUGCCGGUAAUAAACCGGAGGAAGGUGGGGAUGACGUCAAAUCAUCAUGCCCCUUAUGACCUGGGCUACACACGUGCUACAAUGGUUGGUACAACGAGUUGCGAGUCGGUGACGGCGAGCUAAUCUCUUAAAGCCAAUCUCAGUUCGGAUUGUAGGCUGCAACUCGCCUACAUGAAGUCGGAAUCGCUAGUAAUCGCGGAUCAGCACGCCGCGGUGAAUACGUUCCCGGGCCUUGUACACACCGCCCGUCACACCACGAGAGUUUGUAACACCCGAAGUCGGUG